GAAUGAAUCUCACCAACCAAACACAAUUGUCAAAGUGUUUUUUUUUUCCCUUAUUUUCCUUUCCGGCAAAAUUUAAUUUUCUUUUCUUCUUUCCUUUUAUCCGCAAUCACCUUGUUUCCGAGAUGGAUAAAACUGUAGUUAUUGUGAAAAUUUUCUAGACUCAAAGGUGUUUGGCUGGAUGAAAAUUUUGAUCUUUAGAAGCCAAAUAACCAUAUAGCUCAGACGACAAUUUCUCGAAGUCGACGGCUGC
rnacentral:misc_RNA from 1 species